AUGACAACACCGUCCCUCCUCUCCUCGCUCGCCACGCUCGGCCUCGGCUACUCCAUCGCCAUCGCGCUUGGCUUCCUCGUCCUCCUCGCUUCCGUCCUGCUUGCGUCCUACUUCUGCUUCCGACACGGCGAGAGCGCGGGCGGCCACUUCGCCGGCGCCAUCACGCCCACGUCCAGCUCCAGCCACCUGUCCAUCACCGUGCCGCGCGUGCUGUUCGUCGCCGAGGGGUCCGAGUCCCCCGAGGCCUACUCCUCGGCAGCCGCGGCCGCCUCGUCGCCAGUCGGGCUCGACCCCGCUGCCAUCGCGUCGUAUCCCAAGGCCCCCUUCUCCAGGGCCGCGGGCGGCGACGCCAUGUGUUCGAUCUGCCUCUCCGAGUACAUGGACGGCGAGAUGCUACGGCUGAUGCCCGAGUGCAGGCACAGGUUCCACGUCAUGUGCCUCGACGCCUGGCUGCGCAGGAGCGCGUCGUGCCCCGUUUGCAGAUCGUCCCCAAUCCCCACGCCCGAGCUCGUCCCGCUCUCGCAAUACGCCGCUGACCGGCGGCGCAGCAGGUGA
rnacentral:rRNA from 1 species